UGGGGAAUAUUGCACAAUGGGCGCAAGCCUGAUGCAGCGACGCCGCGUGGAGGAUGAAGGCCUUCGGGUCGUAAACUCCUGUCUGGGGGGAUGAAAACUGACAGUACCCCCGGAGGAAGCCCCGGCUAACUACGUGCCAGCAGCCGCGGUAAUACGUAGGGGGCGAGCGUUGUCCGGAAUUACUGGGCGUAAAGCGCGCGCAGGCGGCUUGUUAAGUCAGGUGUCAAAAUGCGGGGCUCAACCCCGUAUCGCACUUGAAACUGGCAGGCUUGAGUGCAGGAGAGGGAAGUGGAAUUCCUAGUGUAGCGGUGAAAUGCGUAGAUAUUAGGAGGAACACCAGUGGCGAAGGCGACUUCCUGGACUGUAACUGACGCUGAGGCGCGAAAGCUAGGGGAGCAAA
rnacentral:rRNA from 1 species